CGCCUGUGCACCGCCCGUCGCCCGCAGCUCGGAUCCUGUCCCGCGUGCACACUCUUGCCUCUUGCACGCUCUCGCCGCAGACUUUGGGUGGGACCCGGGUCCUGAGCCUCGGUUUCCCCUUGCUGAGAUGGAGACAGUCACCGCGCCUGCCUCCCACGUGGCUCUAGGCUGGAUCCCGCAGCGAGCGCUCUAACCGCAGCUCCGCAGGCGGCGGGAGAACCGGAGAGCCGAGGGCGGCUGCGCAUCCGGGAGGGAGAUCCUUCCCACUGCUGCCAGUAGGGGGCGCUGCAUCCAAGCCUCUCCCGCUUUUAGCCCGGUGCUCACUGAAUAUGGAAGCUAGGACGUCAUAUCUUUCAUAAUAACCACGCCACACCACCUGUCUUGGAAAGAGUUCUUCGUGUCUUGUAGCGAUGUAUUUGGUGGUGGUGGUGGGAGCGGGACUAGCACGGUACCUGGCACAUGGGGGAGAGCCAUCAGCCACAGGGACGUUGCUGUAUGUCGACAUGGCUCUGACAGGAGGAUCCGAAGAUCGGGGCCACGCUCAACUGCAUAGAGUCCAGGGUCAGGAAGAGUCCCAGGAGGCCUGGUCAGAAGAUGAAAUCCAAGCCAAACUGAGAUGGCGGUGCCUCGGAGACGGUUCCGGGUGACCCAGAGUGUAUCCCUGCCUCCUUCCUGUGUGUUAAAGUGCUCUGUGGGGCUGUGAUACAGGCUGGCAUGCCCGAGAGGCUAAUGCUGGGAGAGGACAAGGCCUUGUCCGGGGUCACACACACCUCCGGCCCAUUACUGAAUUCUGUCUUCCUGCCAGCAGUGGAAGGCAUCCCAGACUCGCAGGAGGAUGUCACUGAUGAGAGAGUCGGCAAAGAUCACGAGGAACCAGUUGAACGUGAUGAGAGAGAGGUCUACAUGGCGCUGUCCCAGAACCAUGACAGUCCUCCCUGUGCAAGUCAGUCUGGGCUUCAGUGUUGUUGGUGAGUACUCGGGGAUGCCCUUCCGUCCAUAUGUCUGUCCGUCCGUCCUUCCCUUCCCUCCGAGGCAUGCAGCAUCAGAGGCCAUGGCCAGCCUAGAGCCCUGUGUGAGCCACCAGAUCCGUGAUGAAUGGAACCAAAGAACUGCGUGUGAUCCACAGCACGGCAGGCAAGGCUGGAGGGGCAGGCUCUCCCUCUGCUGGUGACCAGGGACACUAGGCGGGGUCCCAGGCUGCCUAUCUUCUCUGUUCUGAACCUGGCCAAUUCUCCAAGGUCAAAGUACAACCAAAAGCAAGCUUGAUGCUGGUGCUCAAUGUAUAUCCCUUUCAGAGAUGUUCAGCUGCAGCGGUGAAAUACCGUAUUUCCCAGCCCGCCUUACAGCGGGGGGCACACCUAAGGCUCGGCUCUGACCAAAAGAAAGCAGAAAGUAGAAACUGCAGACUGAAACUCCAGCGGCCCACCUGUCUGCUUCUGUCGUACAGCAUGGCCACAGAGGGGGUUGAGGGUGGCACAGCCCUCUUGUAACCAACUGGUGACAAGAGGGCUGUAGAACAGGGACUAGGAGCAGCCUGACCCGAGCUGGGAGGAGCCUGACCCGGGCUGGGAGGAGCCUAACCCUGUGGCAUCAAGGACCAUACUUAGCCCCUCCUCUCCAUGAGGCCAGGUGCCGUCCCUUCACCGACCUGACCUUCUAGGUCCGGGGUGGCUCUCUCCUUGCAACUGCACCUGAUCCCUGCCAUCCCAAAGGGCAGCCCCGGAGGAGCGGUGGGUGUCAGACAAGACGCAGACAGGAGGGGAGAGAGCUGAGGAGGGAGGCUGGGAGAAGGAAGGAUGGAGGCUGCCUCAGCAAGAACUGGGCGGGGGACGGGGACGUGACUUUGCACUGACCUUAUUCCUAUUCUAGAGUAGGCCGGCUGGGGGUGCUUUACCCACUUCAGAGCAGCAGUGCUCCCCAGGGAUGUGGCACACAUAACCACAAGCAUGUGCACGGAUGGCACUCCUCACCCCCAGCACACUGCCCAGUCCACCAUCCUGUGGUCCCUCUCAGUUCUUGACUCGGAGAUGGCAAGGGACAUAGAGUUCUGUCUCCCCUCCCUAGCAAGCAACUCUUCCCGGUCAUCACCACUGGACUAACUCGCAGGUGGGCAGGACCUCACAAUCUUACAGGCCCUCAGUGUAGGGAACCUCUAGCAGUCAGAGAGGGUUCAAAGGCCACUGUGUAGGAGAGGCAGAGACCCAGGGUCUGCUGGCCUGAAGGAACUCCUCUGGGGUGGGGGUGCCUCAGGGGGACCAUGUACCACCCCCCUGCUCACCUGGGAUGCAGUCAGUGUCUUGCUGUAGUACUCAGCCGGCAGUAUGGUCUCCACAAUGGCCACCAGGCACCAGAAGGCACUCUCCUCAUCCUCUAGGACCAACAGGGCGAUGGCUGCCAGCCUGCAGAGGGGGGAGGAGCCUGGGGUGACCCACAGCAGUUGCAGUACUGCAUGACAGAGGCAGCAUCCUGGGUGCUGGGUCAAGUCCUCCUCUAGGGCAUUGGGCUAGCCCUAAUCCUGGACCAGGCUGGUAGCCAUGGCGCCCGGGGUGAGACACUGUUUAGAGGAGGACACUCAGGUUUACUUCCAGAGCCGUGAAGACCAAUUCAGAACAGAGACCCUGAGGCUGUGUUGCCUGGGUGGGAACUAUGGUAAGAACUGUUUUUGUUUUUGUUUUUGUUUUUUUUUUUUUUGGUUCUUUUUUUCGGAGCUGGAGACCGAACCCAGGGCCUUGCGCUUCCUAGGCAAGCGCUCUACCACUGAACUAAAUCCCCAACCCCGGUAAGAACUGUUUUAACCUAUCUCGGCCUCAGCCUCCUCAUAAGCUUCAGGGAUGGGUGAGGACCAACAGUCAGCCCUGUUGGCUAUCUGCCCAGAGGUUGGCAUGCAGUCAGUGCUUGUAAGUACUGGCUACCUUCACUUCAUGCUGGCAAGCUCUGAAAACCUCUCAGGGACACUGCCCUCCUGUCAGACCUCAUGCCCUACCCACUGGCACACCCGUGUGAGCACACACAGGCUUUCCUCCUAUGUGCCUUCACCUCAGUUGUGAGGCCCUACUGAGACUGGGAGCAGACAGACAAGUCUUGAGCUGAGUGGAGACAUCUCCCUCAGAGAAGCACUCUGCUUCUUCAACCUUCCCUGAGGGGACACAUCCAGGCCAACGCAUGGAUCCAGUACACUCCCUGGUGUGUCUUCCAUGGACCCUGGUCUGAGGAACACAGCACAUCCCAGCCGCUCUUGGAGGCUCACAGUGCUUCAGCAAAGCCUCAGGACAUUCUGUAGCAACAAGCCCAAGGGAGACAGAUGAGGGGGGUCCUGGGAACCAUGGAGCCUCUUCUGUAUGUCAUACGUGAGGUCUGGGAGCAGCUCUCUUCACGGCAUCUAUGGGAGAAGGGGGCUGCACUGGAAGUCAUGGGCUCUCUGUGGACUUACAGAAGCUUUGAUUUUUAUUAAAAAUAUUAUUAUUAUUAUUA